rnacentral:rRNA from 1 species
CAAACCGGAGGAAGGUGGGGAUGACNUCAANUCCUCAUGGCCCUUACGGCCAGGGCUACACACGUACUACAAUGGUCGGUACAGAGGGUUGCGAUACCGCGAGGGGGAGCCAAUCCCAGAAAGCCGAUCCCAGUCCGGAUUGGAGUCUGCAACUCGACUCCAUGAAGUCGGAAUCGCUAGUAAUCGCGGAUCAGCUAUGCCGCGGUGAAUACGUUCCCGGGCCUUGUACACACCGCCCGU